AGGACCAAGCGUGCCGCACAAGCCCUGAAAAGUGAAGCCAAAACGUCUCGAUCGCCCCCUGGUGAGUGGUCCCAGUAUAGGUCAUAAACCCCGCCCUCCCCAUGUUAUUCAAUGGGACGCGAGACCAACUAAACAAUUAAAUUACCCUUCAAAUAUAUUUUUUCCGAAGCUGGUUUCUGUCAUUUACUGUAGUUUGUAUCACGCUAAUGUAAAUUCAAGAGUUUGUUUUUAAAAUAAGUUUGUUUUUAGUUAGUUAUUUAAUGCUCUAAAAACGGUGGUGUGACGUCGUGAUUCACAGCUGUGAUUGACAGCUAUCUGAGCCGAGGAGCCACUGAAUCUUCGGAGGACUGAGGAGAUUGGAACUUUACAUUUAAUUUCUAAAUUUCUAUAAUUUCACACGGACAUAAUGGGUUGUUCUGCAGUACAUUGUGCUAACCGAUCUGGCAUUUCCAAUCGAUCUUUGAAUUUUUUUCGGUUUUGAUAUAUAUGUGUGGCUUGAGCUGUGGUAAAGGAGACCAUUUCCACUGCUGCUACUGCCAUCAAACAUUGAUUCUAAGAAAGCAGUUAAUCAAACACUUGGCAAGAUGCAGUACCCCAACCACAACAACCAACACUACCCCAUCUGUUAUGCCUCACCUGACCCCAAACACAACAACCAAUACCACCCCAUCUGUGAUGCCUCUCCUGAACCCAACCACAACAAGCAACACCACUCCAUCUGUGAUCCCUUUCCUGAACCCAACCACAACAAGCAACACCACUCCAUCUGUGAUCCCUUUCCUGAACCCAACCACAACAACCAACACCACUCCAUCUGUGAUGCCUCUCCUGACCACAACAACUAACACCACCCCAUCUGUGAUGCCUUUAACCACUCCAAUAAACCACUCCAAUUUUCCUCUAGCAACAGAUCAAGCCCCCAGAGUUUGUAAAACCAAGGUUAGACAAGUGCAAUGCACUCUCUGCGGUCAGUUAGUAAACAAAAAUAAUUUGUGUUCAUUUAAAAAGAAGACAUUCAACUAAUGAACCAGCCCAACACCACCUUCCUUCCAUCUGCCUGGAGGCAGUGGGAUAUUUGCAGUUGGGAAAGCUUUCAAAGGAAGAACAAUCCCCCCCAAAAAAACAUGGGGCAACAGCCACUCAGUAGUUUGUGAACUGGACAGUUGCCAUAUCGAUUUAGAUUUUGCAAUGAGGAGUGGCAUGGUGGCUUUUGAUUGUAUCCAUGUGAAAUCGCUAAGCUACUGCCCUCCAGCAAUGAGUGAAGAUAUUACUCUGGACAAAAAGGUAAUUAACGACAUUGUCACUGCAAAGUGCUGUGCCUAAAACUCCAAGAAGAAGCUUUUUUUGCAAGGCCAGACCACCGAGAACUUGAAUGUAUCAGCAAUUGAAUCCCAGUUGGAGGUAAACCAAGAUGAUUGGGUGAAAAGUGAUGCCAGAACACAAGUGUUUUACCCACCAAAG
ensembl:lncRNA